GAUGAACGCUGGCGGCGUGCCUAAUACAUGCAAGUCGAGCGAAGCGGGGACGGGUGAGUAACACGUGGAUAACCUCUUAUAAGACUGGGAUAAUUCUGGGAAACCUGACUUAUCCCGGUUGCUUAUAGAUUGAUCCUCGCUGCAUUAGCUAGUUGGUAAGGUAACGGCUUACCAAGGCAACGAUGCAUAGCCGACCUGAGAGGGUGAUCGGCCACACUGGAACUGAGACACGGUCCAGACUCCUACGGGAGGCAGCAGUGGGGAAUCUUCCGCAAUGGGCGAAAGCCUGACGGAGCAACGCCGCGUGAGUGAUGAAGGUCUUCGGAUCGUAAAACUCUGUUAUUAGGGAAGCGGUACCUAAUCAGAAAGCCACGGCUAACUACGUGCCAGCAGCCGCGGUAAUUC
rnacentral:rRNA from 1 species